UACGGGGGGAGCAAGCGUUGUUCGGAUUUACUGGGCGUAAAGCGCACGUAGGCGGAUUUGUAAGUCAGGGGUGAAAUCCCGGGGCUCAACCCCGGAACUGCCUUUGAUACUGCGAAUCUCGAGUCCGGAAGAGGUGAGUGGAAUUCCUAGUGUAGAGGUGAAAUUCGUAGAUAUUAGGAAGAACACCAGUGGCGAAGGCGGCUCACUGGUCCGGUACUGACGCUGAGGUGCGAAAGCUAGGGGAGCAAACGGG
rnacentral:rRNA from 1 species